rnacentral:lncRNA from 1 species
CUUUUUAGGGCCACAUCUAAAGGCAUAUGGAAGAUCCCAGCCUAGGGGUCCAAUUGGAGUUGUAGCUGCUGGCCUACACCACAGUCACAGCAACUCAGGAUCUGAGCUGCAUCUGUGACCUAAGCCAGAGCUCAGAGCAACACUGGAUUCCCGACCCACUAAGUGGGGCCAGGGAUGGAACCUGCAUCCUCAUGGAUACUAGUCAGAUUCGUUUCUGCUAUGCCACAACGGGAACUCCUCAAACAAUUUUUUAAAGUCACCUAUAAUUCCCGUAUGCUGUAGGAUAAUUUUUGCUUCUUCACGGUCCUUCUCAAUUUUAUCCCCCGUACACACACAGUAGGUACACAAUGUUUUCCUCAUUUUAUUCUUGGUAUAAUACACACUUCAGUCAGCCACUUUUAAAAUUUAACGUGUUUUCAUCAACAUAAUGUAAGUCAUCAGACUUACAUUCUCAGUGGUGGCACCUGUCUCCUAUUUUCUGCAGUUGCCUACUAUUAUAAAUAUGCUCCCAUAAGCACAGUAAAUGUUGAGGAUUUAGAAGUUACCUUUAGGAGCCAGGUGAUUUAGCAGAAUUGGGUUCUUGUUCCUAUAUAUUAGUAUGUUAUAGCAGGUAUGCAGUUCUGCUUUGGGGGCAGAGAGGGGGGUUAAUUUUUUUUUUUUUUAAUUUGAAGACACAAAUGCAGUAAAAACCAUAGAUGAAAAUAAAAAUACACAGGUACCCAGCAUUAAUCAAUGUUCAUCAUAUUUUUUAAAAAAUAGGAAGAUUCCUGCAAAGUCGAAGUCUCUUUUGGACUCUUCUGCAGUCAUAUGGGUGACUCUUAAUGACCGCAAGGAACAAACUUAGUCUCAAAGUAGUUUACAUAAAUGGUGAUAAAGGUCCAAGAGAUGGGUGUGAUCUAUACAUACAGACUUUGAUCUUUAACGGGUAUCUCUUUCUAACAUAAUUGCAACAAUAAUGUAUAAUAAUACACAAUGUAUAAUAACAUAUAAUGUAUAAUGCAUUAUAGUUUGAAAGUGCUUUUGUGGCCUACAUAAUAGAGGGAUGUGAGGUAAGCUUCAGCCAAGGCUGCCCCUCUUGCCAGUGGAUCUAGAGUGGUGAAAAAGCAAUAGCGGCUAGGGCGGCCUCUUAUAGGAACUACACAUAAAGCAGAGUUUUGGGUUAAGGGAUCUUUUUACCAGGUUACACUACUUCAAGCUCUCUCCCUAUUAAAAUGUGACCAGGACAAAUCCCUUCUCCUUGGAUCAAUUUGACUCAGAUGGCUCAAGGAGAGAUGGCUGCAGACAGGUUGAAGCUGAAAGCUCCAGCAAAUAUUUUAACAACAGAAAACACUCUUAGGGGCUAUCAAGAGAGCAGUGCAGGGCUCAGAGCAUCUCCUCACAGUAAAGACAGAAGCACGCUCCAAUGCGCAAACAUAUUUGGAAGUGCAGAACUGCAUGGAACUUUUAAAGCAACAAGAGGGGCUGCAUACCAAGACCACAGUACUGGGCUUCUCCAAGUGUUUCUUUUCAGGAAUCCUGGGGCAUGCUGCUGGAUCACAGGCCGCAGGAUACUGGCAAACUAUAGGAAAAGAGUGGAGAAGAAAAUGCAGAGCAGAAAACAAAAAUGGAAGUCUUUGAAAGGAAGAAAGGAAGGUAUUUUGAGGAUUAAUGUCAAAGAGAUGUAUAUAUAAUGCAUACAGACUCCAGUUUCAGCUUAUUUAGAAGAAAUCAUCGUUUAUGUCUACUCUGUAGAAGUACAGCUUCGAGCAUAUUUUAACACUUGAACAUAUGCGAGAGAAGCAGGAAAAAGAGUCACAAAAGAAAGCACAGGAUUUAUGGGACUGAAUCUGAGCAGCAGCUGCAACCUAUACCACAGCUGUGGCAAUGCUGGAUUCUUUAACCCACCGUGCCAGGCCAGGGAUCAAACCUGUGCCUCAAUAGCGACCUGAGCUGCUCUAGUCAGAAUCUUAACCCACUGUGCUAAAGCAGGAACUCUUCUAUAUAUACAUUUUUUAAAUGGCAACUUACGAGUAAACUGAUCAUUAAGAAAAAAAUAAAUAAAAGAAUUAGGGCAGACCAGCAAUGUCAAUAAAGUCUCAAAUUUAUUUCAUUUUCACAAAAUAACUGUUGGCUAGAACCAACAUGGAGGUUCUAAUUAGCAUCAGUAUUAUUCCUUGUGAGAAGCCUUCUCUUAGCCACCCCCAGCCCCAGCUGACUACUUCCCCUCUAGGACUUCAGAGCGUUUUUCAUUUUGAGUCUUUUUUGGCAUUACUCACAAUCAUGACAGGUUGCACUGUGGGCUUCAUCUUUCCUUCCAAGUAGUCAUUGAAGGCCUAGGAUAAGAACUGUGUUGACUCACCUUUAUAUCUCUGACCUCCAAUGCAGGAUUCGGCCAGUGCAUGUACUCUCUACAUGCUUGUCAAAACUGAGCCACUGUCUGUCACAGACAGACCAUUGGUCUUAUGGAAGCAAACUCUUCCUACUUUCCAGUCCAGCUUUCCCAGCUUGGUUCUCUUCUUCAGGCAGAGAAUCAACAUCUAUCAAGUUAAAUUCAUGGGGCGGCUUUCGUUGGCUUUCUUCCAUGGGGGAGUAAAGCUAAGGCUUUUUCCACAGAUGCUGACAAUAGUUCUUCCUAUAUGCUGUUAAAGGAAACAAACAAACAAACAAACAAACAAUUGGAGACCUAAGACUGAGUGCUGAGUGGAAAACAGGGAACUUGACCCAGACAGAGGUACACGUCUAGGCCCCCCCAGGGAUAAGGUUUAGGGAAGGAGAAAGGAGGUAGAUCUUUUAAAGCAGAAACCUAGGAGUUCUCGUUGUGGCUCAGUGGGUUAAAAACCUGACUAGCAUCCAUGAGGAUGUGGGUUUGAUCCCUGGUCUCGAUCAGUGGGUUAACAAUCUGGCAUUGCGGCAAGCUGUGGUAUAGGUCACAGAUGUGACUCAGAUCUGGUGUUGCCAUGGCUGUGGCAAUAGGCUGGCUGCUACAGCUCCGAUUUGACCCCUAGCCCGGGAACUUUCAUAUGCCACAGGUGUGGCCAAAAAAAUAAAUUAAUUAAUUAAAUUAAGCAAAAACAUUCAAACUUUCUGUCCCAUGCUAGGAAAGCAAAAUGUCUGAGUUAUGUUUGUUGGUUGGUGAUAACUGCAUUUGUCAUUGUGUAAUUGUGGGGCUGGCUGGAGUGGCCUUUUUGGGAUUGUGGUAUGCAUUUGGGCCACUCUUGGAUUACAGUAUGUAGGUAACACAUGACCUGCCCCAUAGGGACUAUGUCAUCCACUGGGGUGUCAACAGUAGGCUUGGUGGACUUCUCAGAGUUUAGCCAUGCACAGAACACCCUAGGGUUUGUGGAUCACCUUCCCAUCUGUACUUCAGUCAAGAAGAUCAAACCCCAGACCUUGUCAUUUAAACUGUGGGUGACUUCACUUUUCGACAGUCUUCCUUCUCUGAGGUAAGGCGAAGAAUGAAAAACCAUUCAAUGCCUACUGCAUGGCAGGUAUGGCAGGAACUGUACUGCACUCAGUGACUUUACAGAGAAUCAAAGAGGUAAUCACCACGUUAUGGAGGUGCCACACAGCUAUAAGGGGUAAAUCCAGGCUUCAAAGCCUAGCCUAACCUGGCUUUAAAACUUGGGUUGAUAGCCCCUGAUGUCCUUCAACAGCAUCAACAAGUCGCAGUGGCUCUCACACUGCCAAUGAAUGCCCUGGACAGCUGGCUAUGACACAGAAAUCCAGAGAUCCACCUUAACCUGGAUGGUUUUUUUUUCCCUAGGUCUUAGAGGUCUCUGGUGUUACUUUUCUAAGUAAAAGACUAGAAAUUUGGACAGUUAAGAGAACUGACCAGCAGCAUUAAAUGCUCUCUGGUUAGAGGAAGGGGAAAAAAAAAAAAACCUAAGUGAAAAUAGUUAGUACUCUCAGAAAGGCUGAGAGUAUUUAGGGUUUAAGAAUCUAACCAUGUCUAAUGUUUUAUUGGUUUGGAUAGUAGAAAAAGCGUUAUGUAAAAACAUAUGAUAUAGGAAAUGCUUUUUAAGAGAAUUCUUAUGAGGUACAAUUCAAAUGAGGUAAUGCAUCUGAAAGUGCUUUAAAAGCAUAAAGUGCUACAUGAACUGUGAGGGAUUAUUUGUACAAAGUAACCUUUUACAGGUGAAACUUAAAACAUUGGUAUUUUUACUUCUCUUCCAAGAACCAGAGUAGUUUUGGGACUUGCUCUUUGCUGAGGAAAAAAACUCAUGCUUAUUUUCUCAGUUUGGCAGGAUCAGGUAGAGAAGAUAAUUAGACUUGAGGAGGAGAAACUCCCUGAGUCUACAAGAGGCUCCACAAUUGUACUCUCAACUGUGGCCAAAAAGGUUGGUUAGCACUUUUUUUUUUUUUUUUUUUUUUUUUUUUUUUGUCUUUUUGUACUUUUAAGACCUCACCAGCAGCAUAUGGAGGUUCCCAGGCUAGGCAUCUAAUCGGAGCUGUGGCUGCCAGCCUAUGCCAGAGCCACAGCAACACCAGAUCCGAGCCUCAUCGUCAACCUACACCACAGCUCAUGGCAACACCAGAUCCUUAACCCACUGAGUGAGGCCAGGGAUGGAACCCGUAACCUCACAGUUCCUAGUUGGAUUCAUUUCUGCUGCGCCAUGAUGGGUUAGCACUUUUUAAAGUAUUUUUAGAAAAAAAUACAUAGUGUGAUAAAGCAGUAAAAUCUCAAUUAAACAUUAAUGGCAAGCCUAGAGACUUUGUACAGUGAAAUGUUUUUUCUCGAAAAAAAAAAAAAAUCAAUUGUUAUUUUGUCCCUCGUAUUCAAUCUGCUUUCAUUUUAGCUCUUUCUGCCUCGCCAACCCACCCCCGA